UGAGGACCACACGAGUUCAAGUAUCUUGAUACUACUUUAUAAGAUGAAAUAUUCUAUAUAAAUAUAGUGAAUUGGAUAACAAUUAUCAAGAAGACAAGAACUAGCAAGUGUUGGCAAACUAUGGAAAUUAUGUUAGACAAAAAGCAAAUUUGAACAAUUUUCUUAUUUGAGUUCAAAAUGAGUUCCAAAGCAACAGAGACAACUUGCAACAUCAACAAUGCAUUUGGCUGAGGAACUGCUAAUGAACAGAGAGUGCAGUGGUGGUUCAACAAGUUUUGCAAAGGAGGGGAGAGCCUUGAAGAUGAGGAGCAUAGUGGCUGGCCAUUGGAAGCUGACAACAACAUAUUGAGAACAAUCAUCAAAGCCGAUCCUCAUCCAACUACAUAAGAAAUUGUCAAAGAACUCAAUGUCAACCAUUCUAUGGUCAUUCAGCAUUUGAUGCAAAUUGGAAAGGUGAAAAACUUUGAUAAGUGCAUGCCUCAUGAGCUGAGCAAAAAUUUUAAAAAUCAUCGUUCUGAAGUGUCAUCUUCUCUUAUUUUAUGCAACAACAAUGAACGAUUUCUUGAUCUGAUUGUGACAUGCAACAAAAAGUGGAUUUUUAUACAAUGACCAGCUCAGUGGCUGGACUGAGAGGCAGCUCCGAAGCACUUCCCAAAGCCAAAUUUGCACCAAAAAAAGGUCAUGGUCACUGUUUGGUGGUCUGCUGCCAGUCUGAUUCACUGCAGCUUUCUGAAUCCCAGCAAUACCAUUACAUCUGAGAAGUAUGCUCAGCAAAUCAAUGAGAUGCACUGAAAACGGCAAUGCCUGCAGUUGGCAUUGGUCAACAGAAAGGGCAUAAUUCUUCUCCAUGACAACGCCCGACUGCAUGUGUCAGUACCUCACCUCUCACCAACUGACUACCGCUUCUUUAAGCAUCUCGACAACUUUUUGUAGGGAAAUGCUUCCACAACCAUCAGGAUGCAGAAAAUGCUUUCCAAGAGUUCGUCAAAUCCUGAAGCAUGAAUUUUUACACUACGGGAAUAAGCAAACUUGUUUCUCAUUGGCAAAAAUGUGUAGAUUGUAAUGGUUCCUAUUUUGAUGAAUAAAGAUGUUAGAGCCUAGUUAUAAUGAUUUAAAAUUCACAGUCGAAAACCACAAUUAUUUUUCCACCAAUUUCUUCCUUUAGAUACAUUAAUAUUUGCUUAUGUAUUUAGAUUAUUUUAUAUUGAGUGCAUACAUAUUUACAAUUGUUAUAUCCUCUUAAUAAAUUGACAUUUUUAUGAUUAUAUAAUGAUCUUUUUGUCUCUUGUCCUUACUGCAAUUGACUUAAAAUCUAUUUUGUCUAAUAUAAAUAUAACUCCACAUAUUAUAUUUUGUUUUCUAUUUGCAUGGAAUAUUUUCCAUCCCUUUACUUUCAGUCCGCAGAUGGGAUUAAAGCUGAAUUGAGUCUUGCAGACAGCAUAUAUUUAGAUUUUUUU
rnacentral:lncRNA from 10 species